CUGCGCAUGCGCAAAUAGCACACUUAAACAUUCACCCACUAAAUCAUAAUAAGCACAAUUCAUUUCAACGCAAAGGAGUAGGCCUCUAUUCUACACGUAUGAAGGCAACAGCAGUGAGUUUCCUGUUGUGUACCCCUUUCACCACCUGGGGGCAUCAUCACUCACCAUCACUACCAUCACGCAUCAGCGGCAGCACUUACCCACAGAGCUGCUGAAAAUCUUCUCUGUUCAGAGAAGACGUGGGGCAAGAAACGGCCACCAGAGGGAGCACACAUGCUAUGAAAAAUCAUGUAUAUCCAAUCUAGCAGUGCUCCUGAUGCGGUUAGAGGCUGUGACAAGUCUCUGGGCGGGGGAACCGAGCAGAGCGAGCAAACGGGGUGACGAAGAGGACACGACAUCUGGAGAACACGCAGAAGAAGAAUGCAGCAGUGAGAGACUGAACAUAGGACCUUCUUACCAAAGCUAAAGCCAUCUUUCUCAGCAAUAAACCAGGUCAACAAACAAAAAGCAAUUAUG
rnacentral:lncRNA from 1 species